UUCAAGGGACUCUCAGAUCAUCAAACCCACCCAGAAUCUGCUCAAUUUUCAAGAUUUGCUUAUAAAUAUUUAUAAUAUAAACACUCAAUUGCUAUCUGUUUUUUAGGUUCUCCUCUCUCUCCCAGAACAGUGGUAACAGGAACUCUUGGGGGCUUCUCCCUGUUCUUGCAGAUGUGGCAGGAUGUGUUCCUGGGGGGCUCCCAUGCCAGUCCACACCCUCUGUGGUGUAAGCAGGGAUUGGUAAUUAAUGAGAUGCUAAACCCUCCAGAAGUGAGCGCUCAUGUCCCAGAAACACAUCUUCCACCUCAGCAGCCAGUGGGAAAACUAGACUUUGUGUCUGCAUAUUUGUUCUUAAACACACUCUUCUGCAGUCUAACUCUGCUGACCACUUUCCAGUUUGCUCAUAUCAGAAUUUCUUCGGUUCUAAGAUGCAUAUUUUCUUUUUGUAUUCUGACUUGUUAGAAAUUAGAAUAUGUCUUGCAGUCAAUAAAAUCUAUGACAACAUUUUUUUUUCUUAAUGGUUCCUAAAACUCCUGUAGUUGAUGGUGUCUUGCUUAGGUUUAAUGAAAGAGAUUUUAAUAUAUGGCGUGGUUAUGUGGAGUUGUAUCUCUAUCAGUAUUAAUGGGCUCGGGAUGAUUUAUAUUCAACUGAACCCCCAAAUUCAACAUUUUGUGUUGAAUAUUUAUUUUAUCAGUUAUUCUUUAUCCUGUACUCAUUUUGGAUACUUACUAAAGUAUUGUAUGUAUUUGUUAUAAUAAAAUGGCUUGCCGUGUUUGAACACACUGUGUAUCUGACAAUGUUCUAAGACCUAAUUUGAUCUUCAUGACAACUGCAUAAAAUAGUUACUAUUAUUCUCAAUUCACAAAUGAGAAAGUGAGACACAGAGAUGCUAAGGAAUUGCCCAAAGUCACACAGCUACUGAGUGGCAGAGCCAGGGUCUGGGCCCAGCCAGUGUGGCUCCAGGUGCCGCCCACUCUUGACGUGAUACUUACCGUCAAUGCUCCUUACCAGUUAGGGAUGAGCUGAUUCUCAUAUUUUUCCAAGAUACAUUUUAAUUUUAGCUUUAUUUGCUGUAUCAUCAUCAUCAGUAUCAUCAUCAUCAUCAGUUUUCUUGUUUUAAAAUAGGGUUUGGAGUCUCUUCAAGGCUUUCUGUUUUGGAAAAGUAAAACUUAAAAAUCUAUAGCCAUGUGAAUUAUACUUAUGGAGAAAAAGAGUCUUGUUUUAUUAACAUCAGACAUCUUUGUUCCUACUAAUUAUUUUGGAGUAAUGUUCAGUAUCGGGCUAAUGAUCGAUGGAUAUCACUCAUCCAAUUAUGAUGCAUGGAUUAGACCACGGCCUUAAACUUUGUACAUAGUGUUGAAUAAAUUCAUCUUAUUUGCAGUCUUAUUGUCAUCUAGCUUUGAUACACUUGCCCUUUCAUAUGUCUCUUGUCACUAUUCUGUGUAAGAUUAUAAUCCCAAAUACCACUAUAUGUAUUUUUCUUCAUAUUCUAUUAUUGAACAGUAUUAAUGCUUAAUGUUAAUAUAUAAGUAAUAUAUACAUUUUAAAAAUUA
rnacentral:lncRNA from 10 species